rnacentral:miRNA from 1 species
CUCCGCCACCGACAUUGGAAGAGG